rnacentral:rRNA from 1 species
UGGCGGCAGGCCUAACACAUGCAAGUCGAGCGGUAGAGAGGUGCUUGCACCUCUUGAGAGCGGCGGACGGGUGAGUAAUGCCUAGGAAUCUGCCUGGUAGUGGGGGAUAACGCUCGGAAACGGACGCUAAUACCGCAUACGUCCUACGGGAGAAAGCAGGGGACCUUCGGGCCUUGCGCUAUCAGAUGAGCCUAGGUCGGAUUAGCUAGUUGGUGGGGUAAUGGCUCACCAAGGCGACGAUCCGUAACUGGUCUGAGAGGAUGAUCAGUCACACUGGAACUGAGACACGGUCCAGACUCCUACGGGAGGCAGCAGUGGGGAAUAUUGGACAAUGGGCGAAAGCCUGAUCCAGCCAUGCCGCGUGUGUGAAGAAGGUCUUCGGAUUGUAAAGCACUUUAAGUUGGGAGGAAGGGCAUUAACCUAAUACGUUAGUGUUUUGACGUUACCGACAGAAUAAGCACCGGCUAACUCUGUGCCAGCAGCCGCGGUAAUACAGAGGGUGCAAGCGUUAAUCGGAAUUACUGGGCGUAAAGCGCGCGUAGGUGGUUCGUUAAGUUGGAUGUGAAAUCCCCGGGCUCAACCUGGGAACUGCAUUCAAAACUGUCGAGCUAGAGUAUGGUAGAGGGUGGUGGAAUUUCCUGUGUAGCGGUGAAAUGCGUAGAUAUAGGAAGGAACACCAGUGGCGAAGGCGACCACCUGGACUGAUACUGACACUGAGGUGCGAAAGCGUGGGGAGCAAACAGGAUUAGAUACCCUGGUAGUCCACGCCGUAAACGAUGUCAACUAGCCGUUGGGAGCCUUGAGCUCUUAGUGGCGCACGUAACGCAUUAAGUUGACCGCCUGGGGAGUACGGCCGCAAGGUUAAAACUCAAAUGAAUUGACGGGGGCCCGCACAAGCGGUGGAGCAUGUGG